UUGAAAUAGCUCAACACAACAAAUGCUGCAAGUGGUUUCACCAAAUUCAACUGAAAAUAUAACUUAUGACUUUUUUUCGUGUAAACCAGAGGAAAAUUAUUCAACCUUAGGGCAAGCAUCUUUAGUACUUUGUAGACCACCCUUUUGCUGUUAUGACCUGCACACAACGAGAUACAUAGCCAGACACCAGCUUCUGGCAGCGUUCCUGAGGAAUCUGAGCAAUGGCCUCCAGUUCAGUAAUAUUCUUGGGUUUGUGUGCUACAGCCGCCUUCUUUCAAUCCCACCAGAUAUCUUCUAUGGGUUUAAAGUUAGAUGACUGUGAUGGCCACUGUAGAAUUUUCCAGGACUUCCUCUGCAACCAAACCUUGAUAAAAUUUAAGGUAUGCUUGGGAUCAUUGUUUUGUUGGAGGGUCCAAUGACGCCCAAGCUUCAGCUUCCUCACUGAUGGCAUGAUAUUUUCUCCUAGGAUUUCCUGAUACUUCAUGAGUUUAUCUUGCCUUCCACAUGCUGCAGGUUUCCAAUGCCAGAGGAUAUAAAGCGGCCCCAGAGCAUCACUAAGCCACUGCCAUGCUUAACUAUAGGCAGAGUGUUCUUUUUAGUAUAUGCUUCAUUGUUCUUCCUCCAGACAUACCGCUGAUCCAUUGGACCGAGAAGUUUGUGUUUCAUCUCUCCACAGAACAGCAUUCCCAAACCUCUGUGGCCUAUUUACAUUAUUUUAGGCAUAUUGGAGCUGACUUUUCUUGUCCUUUCGGGCCAGUAGUGGUGUGCAUCUUGGAGUUCUGCCAUGGAAACCUGCGUUUAGUACACACCUUGCUGUGCUCACUGACACUCCAUGUCUGUUGCAACCAAGUCUUUCUGCAGGUCUUUUGCCCCAUCCAGGUAGUGUAACUACUGUUCCUUAAACUUUGAACGUACGAACUAUGCUUUCAACAGUGUUUCUAGGAACAUUCAGUGCCUUUGCUGUCUUUUUGUGUCCUGUUACUUGCUUGUAAAGAACGAUGAUCUCUUCUCUUAACUUUGUGGACCAUUAUUUUGACUUAGCCAUAUUUCUAACAUGCAGUCAAAUGUGACACUUAACAAACCCCUAGCCAGUUCAGAUAUUUCAAGUGUUCCAGCUCAUGCAAACUUAGUGCAACUAAUGAAGCCCUUGAUUAGUUGCAUCAGGUGUGCUUUGGACAAUACCUGGUUUGUGCUUUUGUGUGGGAUAUCUUUCAGGAGGUUGCAUAAUUUUAAGACUGGAGAAGUCCAUAUACGUUGAAUUUUCAGUUUAACUUGGGG